GACGAACGCUGGCGGCGUGCUUAACACAUGCAAGUCGAACGAAGUGGCGAACGGGUGAGUAACGCGUAAUCAACCUGCCCUUCAGAGGGGGACAACAGUUGGAAACGACUGCUAAUACCGCAUACUGAAGGAGGGGAUUGCGUGUGAUUAGCCAGUUGGAGGGGUAACGGCCCACCAAGGCGAUGAUCAGUAGCCGGUCUUGGGGGAUGAACCGCCCCAUUUGGACUUGGACACGGCCCAGCCUCCUAAGGGAGGCCGCAGUGGGGGAUUUUCCGCAAAGGGCGAAAGUCUGACGGAGCAACGCCGCGUGAGUGAUGACGGCCUUCGGGUUGUAAAGCUCUGUUAAUCGGGACGCGGUACCGGAAUAGAAAGCCACGGCUAACUACGUGCCAGCAGCCGCGGUAAUAC
rnacentral:rRNA from 1 species